CCUACGGGGGGCAUCCGUGUGUUAUAUUUCACACUUUCUUCCCCUCUGAUGCAGCGACGCCGCGUGAGGGAAGACGGUCUUCGGAUUGUAAACCUCUGUCUUUGGGGAAGAAAAUGACGGUACCCAAAGAGGAAGCUCCGGCUAACUACGUGCCAGCAGCCGCGGUAAUACGUAGGGAGCGAGCGUUGUCCGGAAUUACUGGGUGUAAAGGGAGCGUAGGCGGGCGAGAAAGUUGAAUGUUAAAUCUACCGGCUUAACUGGUAGCUGCGUUCAAAACUUCUUGUCUUGAGUGAAGUAGAGGCAGG
rnacentral:rRNA from 1 species